UUGAUGAAUAAUGAAUUGGGGUUCAGAGGUCCUCUCCUCCAGGGGCCAGGGGGUCUGGUUUUAUAGUCCUUCCAAGUGAUUAUGGGCCAUUGGAUCAAACCGACAUUGAUUGAACGGUUAUCCUUGAUCCUUUAGGUCGGUGGAGCAUAAUCCUGAAAGAGAGUCCAGAUUGAACUCCAGCAGGGGGCGGGCGCCCUGGUCCCUAGGGCGGGCGCCCUAGGCCAGGCUCCGUUCUACCUCCGCUUCGAUCUCGUGGCUUCUGGAGUCUUCUAGAUGUAAGAUAAUUGCACAGCAUGUUAAUAUCUCUAUGUAAUCCCAACGUGUGGGCCUUUCUUCCAUAUUUCCUGAUAACACCCUGCAGUAAUAGACAAACACGAAAACUCGUGGAAUUCUGUCAGAUAAAACCCUAAGUCUGGAUGUUGGUUGCAUUUGGAUUCUUUUCUUUGUUUAUUUGAUACUUAAGGACCGUCAACAAACUCCCCCAAGCUUACCUCUUGCUCAUCCAUGAGCAAGGAUAAUCUCAGCAAUGGAUCAGAAGUUGUUGUAAUGCCUUUAAAAGUUGACAGUACACAUGCUUAUAAAUAAGAUCUCAUCUCUGAGUUAGAGUAAACUGUCAAGACAUUAAAACUUAUUCAUUUUACCUUUCACCAUGGAACUUGUAACCGUCACUUCUAUCUUGAGUAGUUAAGUGCCAUGUCUCUUAUUCUUGAUCAGCUAUAGCUCUGGACUUUUUGCAGAUUUUCAAAUAAACUCAGAGAUUCCUUGUGUGAUUCUCUCAGAUCUCUCUUUUGUGGUAUUUUUGGAUCCUUACCAAGGCAGUAUUUGUGGUAUAAAGCAUAGUGACAUUGCCUUCUCUCUCACCCUAGUCUAAUAAGGCUUUAAUAUCUGGAGCUCAUAGGUGGGAGAUAAAGUAUACAUACUCACAAGACAUUUAUUGUAUAGUCAAACCAUGGAUCCAACGAAACAAGUCAAUAAGUCAAAUCAAGAUGUGCAUGUGUGGCGAAUGAAUGGCGUAUGGUGAUGAUGGUGAUAACAAUGGUGAAAGUCUAAUUCUAUUUUUGCUCCUUAAGGGGAUACAUACCUUCCUUGCUCUUUUUGAAACUUUUUGACGAGAAUGAGAUGCUCUAUAUUUUCUUUUUCUUUCCUCUUAGGUGGGUAUCUUGUACCUCCAAUUCUACUGUCGGACACUUGUCCAUUUUUACCUCUCGUCUCACUUUUUCUUUUCUUCGAGUUUCUGGGCACUUGCCCCUUUUUAUUUCCUCGUAUUUUUUCUCUUUUUUUAGAGCACUCAUCUCAUGAAAUAAUAUAGCAAGUGGUAGUAACCAAGAUAACUCAAGCAUUUAUUUCACAGGGGAAAAAUAAAUAUUUUUGGCUAUUCUCUCCCAGAUUAGGAGUAGAAUAUUUUUGGGUGGUUUUGGAGAUGGUAAUGAGUGGAUAUAUGUGGAUGGUACUUCCAGAGUAGAAGCAGCAUGUGUGAGUGAACGUGCAAGUGAAUCUUGAUUUUAACCACAUGACAAGCUCCUAAGGGUCUACACAACUUGACCACACUCAAUGCUCAUAAGUACUAAAUUAAAUGUGUGGCUCAAAGUCUAGCAAGCAUGUAUAUAUGGCUGUGGUAGGAAUUUAGACUCUCAUCAUAUAGGAACUCAUCAUGCAAUAUUUAAAGAUUUUCAAAGAUAACAUUCUUAAGAAUUCUAGCAUCUCUAGGAACAGAUAAACAGCAGCUCAACUUCCCCAUAUCAUAUCCGUUAACAACUUAGACGUCAGAUCAAGUUUUCUUCCCACAAGUUUAGGUUUAGAGCAAGCUUUAAAUUAUAACAGUUAUGUGUAAGCUUGAGAGAAAACUUAUAUUUGAAAAUU
rnacentral:lncRNA from 1 species